rnacentral:rRNA from 1 species
GUGGGGAAUCUUAGACAAUGGGGGAAACCCUGAUCUAGCCAUGCCGCGUGAGCGAUGAAGGCCUUAGGGUUGUAAAGCUCUUUCAGCUGGGAAGAUAAUGACGGUACCAGCAGAAGAAGCCCCGGCUAACUCCGUGCCAGCAGCCGCGGUAAUACGGAGGGGGCUAGCGUUGUUCGGAAUUACUGGGCGUAAAGCGCGCGUAGGCGGACCAGAAAGUUGGAGGUGAAAUCCCAGGGCUCAACCGUGGAACUGCCUUCAAAACUCCUGGUCUGGAGUUAGAGAGAGGUGAGUGGAAUUCCGAGUGUAGAGGUGAAAUUCGUAGAUAUAGGAAGGAACACCAGUGGCGAAGGCGACUACCUGGACUGAUACUGACACUGAGGUGCGAAAGCGUGGGGAGCAAACAGGAUUAGAAACCCCUGUAGUCC